rnacentral:rRNA from 1 species
AUUGAACGCUGGCGGCAUGCCUUACACAUGCAAGUCGAACGGCAGCGCGGGUGCUUGCACCUGGCGGCGAGUGGCGAACGGGUGAGUAAUACAUCGGAACGUGCCCUAGAGUGGGGGAUAACUAGUUGAAAGAUUAGCUAAUACCGCAUACGAUUUACGGAUGAAAGUGGGGGACCGCAAGGCCUCAUGCUCCUGGAGCGGCCGAUGUUUGAUUAGCUAGUUGGUGGGGUAAUAGCCUACCAAGGCGACGAUCAGUAGCUGGUUUGAGAGGACGACCAGCCCCCCUGGGACUGAGACACGGCCCAGACUCCUUCGGGAGGCAGCAGUGGGGAAUUUUGGACAAUGGGGGCAACCCUGAUCCAGCAAUGCCGCGUGUGUGAAGAAGGCCUUCGGGUUGUAAAGCACUUUUGUCAGGAACGAAACGGUGGGGGGUAAUACCUCCUGCUAAUGACCUUAAAGGGAGAAUAAGCACCGGCUAACUACGUGCCAGCAGCC